rnacentral:lncRNA from 1 species
ACACCCGUUGUUGCAGGCGCCAGUUCGAGUGUCCCAACCGAGCGGGAGGAUUGCGGCAAGGGCUUGGCGCCCUAGCGGUACCAGUUGGCAGUUUACUUUCCUACUUGCAUUAGUUCACCCUAUGUUUAUAUUUUGAGAGUAGAUGUUGUAUAGGGUGAGGUUUUGGAGAGUACUUGAUGUAUUUACAUUUUGGAGAACGAUGUAUGAAGUUUAAUGCAAGUUGUAUUUAAUGCUUUAAAUUUCAUGGUUCAAAUAG